AUUGAACGCUGGCGGCAGGCCUAACACAUGCAAGUCGAACGAGUGGCGGACGGGCGAGUAAUGUCUGGGAAACUGCCUGAUGGAGGGGGAUAACUACUGGAAACGGUAGCUAAUACCGCAUACCAUCGGAUGUGCCCAGAUGGGUUUAGCUAGUAGGUGGGGUAAAGGCUCACCUAGGCGACGAUCCCUAGCUGGUCUGAGAGGAUGACGGGCCACACUGGAACUGGGACACGGUCCAGCGUCCUACGGGGGGCAGCAGUGGGGAAUAUUGCACAAUGGGCGCAAGCCGAAUGCAGCCAUGCCGCGUGUAUGAAGAGGGCCUUCGGGUUGUAAAGUACUUUCAGCGGGGAGGCGUUACCCGCAGAAGAAGCACCGGCUAACUCCGUGCCAGCAGCCGCGGUAAUUC
rnacentral:rRNA from 1 species